UGGUGACAAUGGCAAGGAGGUCACACCUGUUCCCAUGCCGAACACAGAAGUUAAGCUCCUUAGCGCCGAUGGUAGUCGGACUGACGUU
rnacentral:rRNA from 1 species